rnacentral:tRNA from 1 species
UCCGAAUUAGUAUAUCGGCUAGUAUGACCGCCUCUCAUGUUGGGCCGCGGUAGAGACGGGUUCGAUUCCCGUAUUCGGAA